AGUCGUAACAAGGUUUCCGUAGGUGAACCUGCGGAAGGAUCAUUAAAAAAUAUAGAAUUAAUUUUCUAUAAACCCAAUCUGUGUAUUCGUACCUGUUGCUUCCGUGGGACAGUGAACGCUUGUCGUUCCCUCUGGCGCUGUUCUUCGGAACGGAUGCUGGGGAGUGCCCACGGGAGGUCUACAUAAACUCUGUUUUUUCUGAACUCAGUCUGAAAACUGUUUUUAAAUAAACUUUAAAACUUUCAACAACGGAUCUCUUGGUUCUC
rnacentral:misc_RNA from 1 species